GUUGGAGAUGAGGUGGAGGUGAGAACUACCAGUAUAACUGAUGAUUUAAGGAUGACUCAGGUCUGGUAGUUGUAAUUUACCAGUUUUUAUGUCCAUUGUCUCACAGAUUUUCUCCAGGCUCAGUGAUAAGGAACCAUUUGGCUGGUGGCAGGCACGGAUCAAAAUGAUUAUAGGAGAGGUAAUUCAGAUGUUGCUGCAGAAUCACAAGUCCUUACUCAGAAGCUGGAGUGGAUUAUUUAAAAAAAAAAGCACAAAAAAUAAUUCAGCUUGACUGCUAAUUAAUCAUUUUCAAGGGGUUGGUAAUAAAAAAGCUUCCUUUCUUACACUUUUCCCAGUGGUACCUGAUUGAAUACAAGGAUGGAUUCCAGGAGUUCGUCAAAUCAGGGUCCAUCAGGAAUCAGAAUAAGAACACUUUCUGCACCAUAGAAAUGCUCGUGCAGAUCUUCUGGUCAGAAGAACCAACAGUCAGACUGCAGAAGGAGCAGUGCCAUGCACAACCAGAGACCGAGGAUAAGGGCUGUCAGACUGAAGCCGAUGACGGUCACCCAACGGAAUGUGCUGGUCCCAGCGAGCAAAGGGCCCACGCGACAUUAAACAGCAGCUUGCAACACCAGAACUGUCCGAGCAGUGAGGCCCACGGCGGUCAGCCACCAGACUCCGGCGAACACACUGAAGAACUGUGGCAAUCCGACGAAGACCAGCUGGUCUGGACUCUGAAAUUUGAUCCCAAGCCUCCAAAGGCCAGCAAAUCCGCCCGUCGUCGUCGUCGCAACUGCCAGCGUCAACUGCGUGAUUACAGCAUGGAUGAUGAGUACGAUGACGAAGAAAUUAGGAUGACCCCACAGGGACUCUGCCUAUUCCGAUUGUUUGGCAGCCGAUGGGUGGCAAUGGCCUAAUCAGUUUUUCUUUUUGGAAUACAGUGAUCCCUCGUUUAUCGCGGGAGUUGCGUUCCAAAAAUAACACGCGAAAAGUGAAAUCCGUGAAGUAGUCAGCUUUAUUUUUUAUUUUUAUUUUACAAUGCAAUACUGAACUGUAGAAUGAAACCAAAAAUCAAAACCUGUUUUAAAGCCCAAAAUUUGUUUAAAACACUAAUUUUAAUAUAGUAAUACAAGGUUGGAAACAUUGUCACACACGUAUUUCCCAGUCCCAGCUGUGCCUCUUCGUCCUGACUCCGCUCCGCUGGAGCGUCUGUUUCUACUGGAGGCGCAGGAGUGUUUCUCCCAGAGAAGAACUUUGUUAUGGGUAGUUGUUGGCGCUCUUUCUUUUUCUGAGCAAGAAGAUUUUUAUAAACGGAUAUGCCACCUUCGAUUAUAUUUGAGAACUGCAACGAACGACUCGCAAAAAAAAAUCCGUGAAGCAGCGAAGCCGUGAAAGAUGAAACGCGAUAUAGCGAGGGAUCACUGUAUUUCCUUUUUAAUGAUCCAUUUUUUUUCCUGAACUUCAUGAAUAUUUGUGAUAUUUGUGAAUAAAAUCUGAAUAUACUCCGGUCUUUUGUGAUGAUUUAAGUCAAUUUGGAGAAAUUCAAAU
rnacentral:lncRNA from 1 species